rnacentral:rRNA from 1 species
GAGUUUGAUCAUGGCUCAGAACGUACGCUGGCGGCACGCCUAACACAUGCAAGUCGAACGAAGUAGCAAUACUUAGUGGCAGACGGGUGAGUAACAUGUGGGUAUCUGCCCUUUGGCCUGGAAUAACACGAGGAAACUUGUGCUAAUACCGGAUAAGUCUUUACGGAGAAAGCUUUAUGCACCAUUGGAUGAGCCCGCACUUGAUUAGUUUGUUGGUGGGGUAAUGGCCUACCAAGACUUUGAUCAAUAGCUGAUUUGAGAGGAUGAUCAGCCACAUUGGGACUGAGACACGGCCCAAACUCCUACGGGAGGCAGCAGUGGGGAAUCUUGCACAAUGGAGGAAACUCUGAUGCAGCGAUGCCGCGUGAGUGAAGAAGGCCCUUGGGUUGUAAAGCUCUUUCGUCGGGGAAGAAAAUGACUGUACCCGAAUAAGAAGGUCCGGCUAACUUCGUGCCAGCAGCCGCGGUAAUACGAAGGGACCUAGCGUAGUUCGGAAUUACUGGGCUUAAAGAGUUCGUAGGUGGUUGAAAAAGUUGGUGGUGAAAUCCCAGAGCUUAACUCUGGAACUGCCAUCAAAACUUUUCAGCUAGAGUUUGAUAGAGGAAAGCAGAAUUUCUAGUGUAGAGGUGAAAUUCGUAGAUAUUAGAAAGAAUACCAAUUGCGAAGGCAGCUUUCUGGAUCAUUACUGACACUGAGGAACGAAAGCAUGGGUAGCGAAGAGGAUUAGAUACCCUCGUAGUCCAUGCCGUAAACGAUGUGUGUUAGACGUUGGAAAUUUAUUUUCAGUGUCGCAGCGAAAGCGAUAAACACACCGCCUGGGGAGUACGACCGCAAGGUUAAAACUCAAAUGAAUUGACGGGGACCCGCACAAGUAGUGGAGCAUGUGGUUUAAUUCGAAGAUACGCGCAGAACCUUACCAACACUUGACAUGUUCGUCGCGACUCUAAGAGAUUAGAGUUUUCGGUUCGGCCGGACGAAACACAGGUGCUGCAUGGCUGUCGUCAGCUCGUGUCGUGAGAUGUUGGGUUAAGUCCCGCAACGAGCGCAACCCUCACUUUUAGUUGCCAUCAUUUAGUUGGGCACUCUGAAAGAACUGCCAGUGAUAAGCUGGAGGAAGGUGGGGAUGACGUCAAGUCCUCAUGGCCCUUACGUGUUGGGCUACACACGUGCUACAAUGGUAUCUACAACAGGAAGCAAGACGGCGACGUCAAGCAAAUCCUUAAAAGAUACCUCAGUUCGGAUUGCACUCUGCAACUCGAGUGCAUGAAGCUGGAAUUACUAGUAAUCGUGGAUCAGCGUGCCACGGUGAAUGCGU